GCCAAUGAAAGAAAUGAUGAGAAGGGGAGAACAUCUCAAAGGGCAAACUGGGGGCGUUUGGAGGCGUGAGAGUGUCGUGUGGAUGCUGCAGUGUUCAGGUUCAGGAGCUCGGAAGCGAUCCUGGAGGCAGUGGUGGGACAUCACUGCAGGACCUGCUCCGGAGAAGAGGACUGCCCUCACAGCCGCAUCGCACAAGAUGACUGACGAGCAGCGUGGGAGAAAGCAGGGCUGGGAACAGGAAGAUUGGUCGGCGGAGGGAGAAGAGAAAAAGACAGUGGUCCUGAUGUUCUCAAGGCCCUGGUGGAUGCGAAAACUUCUGGCUGCCCUUUCCAAGCCCACCAAAGACAGGUUCCCUUGCUCUGCACGUGCACUUGGCCCCUGCCCCUCUCGUGGUUCCAGGUCCUGACGAGGGGCCUCAGUUGUUGGAGGAAGGCUCAGAAUCAGGCUUCCUAUUCCACCAAGUUCAGACUGUAUUUCGACACUAAGAAUUAAUUCCUCGCUUACCUCGGUCUGCAAACCUCAUCUGUGCCAACCCCGAAAGCUUUAUUCCCUCUGCUGGGCUGGCCAGUGAGACUGGGGUAUGGUUGCUUCUAUAUUUAGUUCCCAAAUGAGCCUUGGAAGCAGCCAGAACUCUUUCCCGGCUCCAUCUCAGUUGAGCUGUCAUCUCCUGGCUGUCGGUUCUGCUUCCAGCUCCCUGGUUUUUUGGGCUGAACGGCUUCAUGUCAGGCCUCCAGAAGGACCUCGGCCUGCAUGGCAGGCAACUGGUCCAUCCUCCUUUCAACCCACCUGGGAGGCCCAGAAGCCACCAAACUUUCCAAUAAGACCAGGCAGAAAUACACCUGAUUCCUUUCACCAGCAGACACAGUCCUGCUUCAGCUUUUCUCCUUCUCCUGCCAACUCUCUAGACCAGACCGUCACUCCAGCCCCUAAACAUCUGCUCUCCAAGCAUCUCUACCUAAAUGAGUCCUUCUUUCCUGUUGUAGAAGUGCUUACAUCAACACCGCAGUGCCAUCUUGUUCAAGCAAAAUUAGUUGAAAGAAGUAAGACGACAUAUCUUGGGUGGGGAAAGAAGAAGUUUCACGGGAAGACAAAUGUUUAUCUUUAAAUACUUCUUUCUGUGACUCCAUAGAGCUGGACUUUUGGUGGAAUGAUAGGAAGGGAGCUCUUGGCUAAAAUAAAGGAGACUUUUCUAAUAGUGAUACUCAAGUUAAUAAGCCUACUUAGAGAGCUUUUAAAUUUGGGUGCGGGUUAUUUGGGUAUGUUCUUUUUGUAAGUUUAUCGAGCCAUGCGCUUACGACUUAAGCACUUUUCUGUAUUCAUGUUAUUUUCCAGGUAAAAGUUAUUACCAGUGCACAGCUCCCAACCUUCACUGCUCACAGUCAGGGAGCUGCUGAAGUAGAGCCCGGAUGACAUCUCACUGGGGGAAGCCUGGGAGACUCAUGCCUGGGACAGGGGAAAGUCAGAUGGCAUCUCCGUCUCCAUGGACUUUGUGACUACAUUUUCUGGAUCUUCCCAAGAUGGGGAAUUUGUAGUGUGCAGGCUCCUGCCCCCAGAUCAACCCUAGAGAAACCAGAGAAGCAAGAGGGGAAGAUUCCGGGAAGGGAGAAUGACAAUGACCACACAGAACUGUGAGUAAUCCCUGGGUCAGCAGAAACCUGCCUUCGUCUGGUGUGAAUGUGGGACAAGGGUGGCUGGGGAAGGUGGCUGGAGGGGACAGUGGGAGAAGAGGCUGGAAGAGAGCUUUGUACGUUCUGCUCUGGUCUCCCUGCCCCCACCCAUGUCCCAGGAGCCUGAAGACAACGCCUGACUCCCUGCCCCUCAGAAGCGGGUCGCAGGGGCUCAGCUCUGGAGUCUGUUGUCUGCGGUCUCAGUGAUGGUGGAGGCAGCUCUAAUAUUUGGGCAGAAGAAGCCCUGGUAGGUAGUGGUGUUAGGUCUGGCAGCGGCCCUAGGCUCUUGUUCCCCAGCACCCCCAGCCCCCCAGCUAGCGGGCAACCCCCUUGGAGACGGCCGUCUCCUAAGGCAGAGUUGCUACGGGGGUUUAAUGUUAAACCGGACCGGAAACGUUUCUGGUGAGAUGAUGGGCUGUGGUCCUGGGGUGACCAGGCCUCCCACUGGGAGCUCAUGACCCCUCUCCUCAAACUCCCCAGGGUGGACCUUUGACCCUUCCCCAAACACAGUACUGGAAAAUGGUAGCUGGUAUUCCCAGGGACGCUGUGAACUCAUCUGAGCACAACUAGACCCCUGAGGAGUUCUGAUGCCAAAAAAAAGUAUUUGCACAACAAACACCAUCUAACAGAGAAGUAUUACAAGGGCCAGGGCCAAGGGGGGAGGGUGGAAGAAGUGGGAUGGACGGGGAGCUUGGGGUGGGGGGAUGCAAACUAUUACAUUUAUAACCAAUGAGGUCCUGCUGUACAGCACAGGGAACUCUAUCCAGUCUCUUGGGAUAGACCAUGAUGGACGAUAACAUGAGAAAAAGAAUCUCUGUGUGUACGACAGGGUCACUGCUGUACAGCAGAAACUGACUCAACACUGUAAAUCAAUUUUUUUUUUUUUUUCUUUUUGCCAUUUCUUGGGCCGCUCCCGUGGCACGUGGAAGUUCCCAGGUUAGGGGUUGAAUUGGAGCUGCAGCUGCCGGCCUACGCCAGAGCCACAGCAGCGCAGGAUCCAAGCCGCAUCUGCAACCUACCCCACAGCUCACGGCAACACCGGAUCCUUAACCCUCUGAGCGAGGCCAGGGGUCGAACCCACAACCUCAUGGUUCCUAGUCGGAUUCGUUAACCACUGAGCCACAAUGGGAACUCGAACACUGUAAAUCAGUUAAUACUCUAAUAUACUAUAGUCUAAUAAAAAAUUAAUAAAAGAAGAAAAACUGUACAUGAAACAUAGAAGCAAAGAAAUAAGGGAAGGCAUUAUCACUAUAAAACACUGUGAAAAAACUGUGACAAAAAAUAAGGAAGUUGAAGCAGAGAACUUUCAUUACACAGUGAAAACAUUUUGUGUUCAAUUAUCUUAUUCUAAGUGUACUGACCCGAUAUUUAUUUCUCAUAACAAUGCAGGCUGCGUGCAGUUAUCAAGCCCACUUUACAGAUGAGAAAACGGAGACACGAACACUGGUUAAGCAAUCGGCCUGCAAUUGAUGACAGGCAGUGGUGGGAUUUGAACCCAAGCAGUGUGAGUCCAGCCUGGAACAUUGUACCCGCCGCCCUCUGGCUGGAUCAGGGAGCCCAGCAGAAGGGGAAAUGCGAGGAUGAAGGCCGCAAGAGAGGGAAACUUGGGAGUUCUUCCCGAAGCCUGUGGAACGGAUGAAGGGAGGGAAGAUAGAACACGAAAGCCAAGAAAUAAAGGGGAUGCAGUCAGAGGGGCAAUGUGCGGAGUGGAGAGACCCGGAACGAGGAACCGAGGAGGAAAAUGGGACAACUCCAUCGUCCCUAAACCCACUGCUUACGGAAGGCCCAACCCCGCUCCUGACCUGACAAGGGUGUGCGUUCCAGAGCCCACCCCCUCUGCCCGUCCUCCACCUGCCAGCGGUGGGCGACUUGUCAACAAAACCCCGAACCCCGACGUGGCCGUCCUGCUGGCUCUCACGGAGGAGGUCUCCCCGUCCAAGUCCGGCCCUCCGGGGUGGGAGAAAUGGAGGGGAAAGCAGAGCCCCGUAGGGGAGGCAGAGCGGCCUCCUCUGCGAUGCAGCUGAGAGCCAGACAGAGACGAUGGAGGGGCCUCUGGUCCUGAACCGUCUUUACUGGCGCCACGGACACGGCCGUUGGCUUCCCAGUCGUCCGUGGCUGGUGAGGCCCACAGCAGCAGGGCCGAGGAGCCGCGACAGAGACGGGCCGGCCCACAAAGAGGACACCUUAUUUACUAGCUGGCUCUUGACAGAAAACAUCAGCUGACCCCUGACCUAGGUUAGGGCUUCUCAGUCAAGAUGUGGCAGGACAUUUUAUCCCUUGCUGUCCCCAUCCGUCCAUCCCACCCCCGCGGGCUCCUCGCUGGGAUUCACCCUCACCUGCGGCCCCCUGGGGGGGACGUGCGGCUGCUUGGUUUGCACCUGAGCAGGGAGAGGGCGGUUUCUUCUCCUCUUUUAGGGAAAAGCUGUCAACAACCAGAGGACAGUUCCCUCAGCCCCCAGUUCACUUAGGGAGAGCGAGAACUUGACCUACUGCUCAAGGGAAAAAAAAAAAACACACACACCUGGAGUCGGGGCUGAGGGCAAGAGGGGCUCUCUC
rnacentral:lncRNA from 1 species